rnacentral:rRNA from 1 species
AGAACGAACGCUGGCGGCAGGCCUAACACAUGCAAGUCGAGCGCUGUAGCAAUACAGAGCGGCAGACGGGUGAGUAACGCGUGGGAACCUUCCCAGUGGUACGGAAUAGCCCAGGGAAACUUGGGGUAAUACCGCAUACGCCCGCAAGGGGAAAGAUUUAUCGCCAUUGGAUGGGCCCGCGUUGGAUUAGCUAGUUGGUGAGGUAACGGCUCACCAAGGCAACGAUCCAUAGCUGGUCUGAGAGGAUGAUCAGCCACACUGGGACUGAGACACGGCCCAGACUCCUACGGGAGGCAGCAGUGGGGAAUCUUGGACAAUGGGCGCAAGCCUGAUCCAGCCAUGCCGCGUGAGUGACGAAGGUCUUCGGAUUGUAAAGCUCUUUUGGCGGGGACGAUAAUGACGGUACCCGCAGAAUAAGCCCCGGCUAACUUCGCGCCAGCAGCCGC